rnacentral:rRNA from 1 species
UACGUAGGUGGCAAGCGUUGUCCGGAUUUACUGGGUGUAAAGGGCGUGCAGCCGGGCUGACAAGUCAGAUGUGAAAUCCCGCGGCUCAACCGCGGAACUGCAUUUGAAACUGUCAGUCUUGAGUACCGGAGAGGUCAUCGGAAUUCCUUGUGUAGCGGUGAAAUGCGUAGAUAUAAGGAAGAACACCAGUGGCGAAGGCAGCAUACCGGCGCCCGACUGACGCUGAAGCACGAAAGCGUGGGGAGCAAAUAGG